rnacentral:rRNA from 1 species
UACGAAGGGGGCUAGCGUUGUUCGGAAUUACUGGGCGUAAAGCGCGCGCAGGCGGUCUUUCAAGUCAGUGGUGAAAGCCUGGAGCUCAACUCCAGAACUGCCAUUGAAACUGCAGGACUUGAGUACGAGAGAGGUGAGUGGAAUUCCCAGUGUAGAGGUGAAAUUCGUAGAUAUUGGGAAGAACACCGGUGGCGAAGGCGGCUCACUGGCUCGUAACUGACGCUCAGGCGCGACAGCGUGGGGAUCAAACAGG